rnacentral:rRNA from 1 species
GUGCCAGCAGCCGCGGUAAUACCGGCAGCCCGAGUGAUGGCCGAUCUUAUUGGGCCUAAAGCGUCCGUAGCUGGCUGCGCAAGUCCGUCGGGAAAUCCACCUGCCCAACAGGUGGGCGUCCGGCGGAAACUGUGUGGCUUGGAACCGGAAGGCUCGAGGGGUACGUCCGGGGUAGGAGUGAAAUCCCAUAAUCCCGCACGGAUCACCGAUGGCGAAAGCACUUCGAGAAGACGGAUCCGACAGUGAGGGACGAAAGCCAGGGUCUCCAACCGGAUUAGAAACCCCAGUAGUCC